rnacentral:lncRNA from 1 species
AGAGCAGACAACAACCGAAGGCCACCAAUGGGUCUUCAAUGUAGCGAGAAUUCCCGCACCCGUGGUUGUCCUUCAGCUGGCCCCUAAAAAUAUGUAUACUAGUACAGUGAUAAUGGACGUCAUACUAAACUCCGAAUUAUACAGAAGAAACUAAAAUAAAAAAUUAUACAAGACUAACAAAGGCAAGAGGCUCCUGACUUGGGACAGGCGCAAAAUUUCGGCGGGUUUA